rnacentral:misc_RNA from 1 species
GAUGAAGAACGCAGCGAAAUGCGAUACGUAAUGUGAAUUGCAGAAUUCCGUGAAUCAUCGAAUUUUUGAACGCACAUUGCGCCCCCUGGUAUUCCGGGGGGCAUGCCUGUCCGAGCGUCAUUGCUGCCCUCAAGCACGGCUUGUGUGUUGGGCCCCGUCCUCCGAUCCCGGGGGACGGGCCCGAAAGGCAGCGGCGGCACCGCGUCCGGUCCUCGAGCGUAUGGGGCUUUGUCACCCGCUCUGUAGGCCCGGCCGGCGCUUGCCGAUCAACCCAAAUUUUUUAUCCAGGUUGACCUCGGAUCAGGUAGGGAUACCCGCUGAACUUAAGCAUAUCAAUAAGCGGAGGA